GUAGGUGGCAAGCGUUGUCCGGAAUUAUUGGGCGUAAAGCGCGCGCAGGCGGUUCUUUAAGUCUGAUGUGAAAGCCCACGGCUCAACCGUGGAGGGUCAUUGGAAACUGGAGAACUUGAGUACAGAAGAGGAAAGCGGAAUUCCACGUGUAGCGGUGAAAUGCGUAGAGAUGUGGAGGAACACCAGUGGCGAAGGCGGCUUUCUGGUCUGUAACUGACGCUGAGGCGCGAAAGCGUGGGGAGCAAACAGGGAUUAGAUACCCUGGUAGUCCACGCCGUAGACGAUGAGUGCUAAGUGUUAGGGGGUUUUCCGCCCCCCUUAGUGCUGCAGCUAACGCAUUAAGCACUCCGCCUGGGAGUACGGCCGCAAGGCUG
rnacentral:rRNA from 1 species